rnacentral:rRNA from 1 species
GGUGAACGCUGGCGGCGUGCCUAAUACAUGCAAGUCGAGCGAACGGACGAUAAGCUUGCUCCUCUGAUGUUAGCGGCUGACGGGUGAGUAACACGUGGAUAACCUACCUAUAAGACUUGGAUAACUUCGGGAAACCGGAUCUAAUACCGGAUAAUAUGUUGAACGGCAUGGUUCAAAAGUGAAAGACGGUUUUGCUGUCACUUAUAGAUGGAGCCGCGCUGCAUUAGCUAGUUGGUAAGGUAACGGCUUACCAAGGCAACGAUGCGUAGCCGACCUGAGAGGGUGAUCGGCCACACUGGAACUGAGACACGGUCCAGACUCCUACGGGAGGCAGCAGUAGGGAAUCUUCCGCAAUGGGCGCAAGCCUGACGGAGCCACGCCGCGUGAGUGAUGAAGGUCUUCGGAUCGUAAAACUCUGUUAUUAGGGAAGAACAUAUGUGUAAGUAACCCUGCACGUCCUGACGGUACCUAAUCAGAAAGCCACGGCUAACUACGUG